rnacentral:rRNA from 1 species
CACGUAGGGUGCGAGCGUUGUCCGGAAUUAUUGGGCGUAAAGAGCUCGUAGGCGGUGUGUCGCGUCGGCCGUGAAAACUUGGGGCUUAACUCUGAGCGUGCGGUCGAUACGGGCAUCACUUGAGUUCGGCAGGGGAGACUGGAAUUCCUGGUGUAGCGGUGAAAUGCGCAGAUAUCAGGAGGAACACCGGUGGCGAAGGCGGGUCUCUGGGCCGAAAUUGACGCUGAGGAGCGAAAGCGUGGGGAGCAAACAGG